AACGAACGCUGGCGGCGCGUCUUAAGCAUGCAAGUCGAGCGGCAAGGGCAGCAAUGCCCCUAGAGCGGCGGACUGGUGAGUAACACGUGGGUGAUCUACCUCUGGGCUGGGGAUAGCUUGUGGAAACACAGGAUAAUACCGAAUACGUUCGUUUGACUGCGGUCAGACGAGGAAAGGUUCGUUUGGACCGCCCGGAGAUGAGCCUGCGGCUGAUUAGCUUGUUGGCGGGGUAAUGGCCCACCAAGGCGAUGAUCAGUAGCCGGCCUGAGAGGGUGAACGGCCACAUUGGGACUGAGAUACGGCCCAAACUCCUACGGGAGGCAG
rnacentral:rRNA from 1 species